rnacentral:lncRNA from 1 species
CAGCUGGAUGGGCAGUGGCGAGUUGGGGAGGCACAGCAUGACUCAAUAAGAUCUGUCUAUUUAAGCGUGUUCUGCUGGGUCUGCAGUGGGCAAAUCUAACCUGUCCUCUGCCUUGUGAAGGGACAAUUUCAUGCAUACUAGGAGAGCACACUCGGAGCAGCCUUCCUCCCACAGAAUGUCUGCUUGGACAACACAACAGUUAGGUUUGAGAUCUGGGACACGGUUGGACAGCAGUGGUAUCACAGCCUGGCCCCCAUGUACUCUUGGGGGGGCCCAGGCUGCCAUCAUGGUCUAUGACAUCACCAAUACAGAUACAUUUGCCAGAGCCAAGGACUGAGUGAAGGAGCUACCAAGCAGGCCAGCCCCAACAUGGUCCUUGCGCUCACGGGUAACAAGGCAGACCUGGCCAGCAAGAGACCCCUGGAAUUCCAGGAAGCACAAGCCUAUGCAGACGAUGACAGUUGGCUGUUCAUGGAGACAUCAGCAAAGGGUGCAAUGAAUGUGAAUGAAAUUUUCAUGGCAAUAGCUGAGAAACUUCCCAAGAACAAGCCCCAGAAUGCAGCUGGUGCUCCAGACAGAAACCAAGGUGUGGACCUCCAGGAGAACCACCCGGCCAGCCCCAACCGGUGUUGCAGCA